UUUAAGGUCUAACCUGCCCAAUGAGGAUUUAAAUGGCCGCAGUAUUUUGACUGUGCAAAGGUAGCAUAAUUAUUAGUUUUUUAAUUGAAAGCUUGUAUGAAGGGUUGGACGAGAUAAAAUCUGUCUUUAUUUAAAUUAGAGUAUAACUUAACUUUUAAGUCAAAAGGCUUAAAUGUUUAUAAAAGACGAGAAGACCCUAUAGAUCUUUAUUUAUUUAAGAUUUUAAUAAUUUAGGAUUAUUUUAAUUUGAAGUUUUAAAUAAAUUUUAUUGGGGUAAUAUAAAGAUUAAAUAAAUUCUUUUUAUUAAUUACAUUGAUUUAUGAAUAUAUGAUCCAUUAAUACUGAUUAUAAGAUUAAGUUACCUUAGGGAUAACAGCGUAAUUUUUUUGGAGAGCCCAUAUCGAUAAGAAAGUUUGCGACCUCGAUGUUGGAUUAAAAAUUAGCUUGGGUGCAGAAGCUCAAGAUUUUGGUCUGUUCGACCAUUAAAUUUUUACAUGAUCUGAGUUCAGACCGGCGUAAGCCAGGUCGGUUUCUAUCUUUAUUUAAAUAAAAUGUUUUAGUACGAAAGGACCAAAUAUUUAAUAUAGUUAUAUUUAUUUUUUGAAGGAUACU
rnacentral:rRNA from 1 species